CCCCCCUCAAGAUGAGAUAUCCCCUCCAUAAGGAGAUAAGAUCCCUUAAAGACGAUAAGGUAGAUAGGUUCAAGGUGUAAGUGUGGUAACACACUCAGCUGAUGAAUACUAAUAGAUCGAAGGUUUAUUCU
rnacentral:rRNA from 1 species